rnacentral:rRNA from 1 species
CCUACGGGUGGCAGCAGUGAGGAAUAUUGGUCAAUGGUCGGGAGACUGAACCAGCCAAGCCGCGUGAGGGAUGAAGGUACAGAGUAUCGUAAACCUCUUUUGUCAGGGAACAAAGGCGGGGACGUGUCCCCGGAUGAGUGUACCUGAAGAAAAAGCAUCGGCUAACUCCGUGCCAGCAGCCGCGGUAAUACGGAGGAUGCGAGCGUUAUCCGGAUUUAUUGGGUUUAAAGGGUGCGCAGGCGGUCUGUUAAGUCAGCGGUCAAAGCCCGGGGCUCAGCCCCGGCCCGCCGUUGAAACUGGCAGACUCGAGUUGGAGAGAGGUAUGCGGAAUGCGCGGUGUAGCGGUGAAAUGCAUAGAUAUCGCGCAGAACUCCGAUUGCGAAGGCAGCAUGCCGGCUCCACACUGACGCUGAGGCACGAAAGCGUGGGUAGCGAACAGGAUUAGAUACCCUUGUAGUC